UACGGCUAUAUCACGUUGAAACACCGAUUCCCGUACGAUUAGAGAAGUUAAGCUACGUCGAGCCUGGUCAAUACCUAGAUGGGUGACCGCUUGCGAAUACAAGCUGCUGUAAG